rnacentral:rRNA from 1 species
AUACGUAGGUGGCAAGCGUUGUCCGGAAUUAUUGGGCGUAAAGCGCAUGUAGGCGGUGCCUUAAGUCUGUCGUGAAACUGCGGGGCCUAACCCCGUAUGGCGAUGGAAACUGUGGCACUUGAGUGCAGGAGAGGAAAGGGGAACUCCCAGUGUAGCGGUGAAAUGCGUAGAUAUUGGGAAGAACACCGGUGGCGAAGGCGCUUUUCGGGACUGUGUCUGACGCUGAGAUGCGAAAGCCAGGGUAGCGAACGGGAUUAGAUACCCCGGUAGUCCUGGCCGUAAACGAUGGGUACUAGGUGUGGGAGGUAUCGACCCCUUCCGUGCCGGAGUUAACGCAAUAAGUACCCCGCCUGGGGAGUACGGCCGCAAGGCUUAAACUCAAAGGAAUUGACGGGG